GUGCCCACUUGAGUAGCACAUGUACUAAAAUUGGAAUGAUACAGAGAUUAGCAUGGCCCCUGCACAAGGAUGAAUGUCACUACUCUGGGAACCUCAUGCAGGUGGCAUUGUCUU
rfam:Canis lupus familiaris chromosome 3, whole genome shotgun sequence.